rnacentral:rRNA from 1 species
UAAGUCGAUGGUGAAAGCCUACAGGCUUAACCGUAGAAUUGUCAUCGAUAACUGUUGUUCUUGAGUAUAGUCGGGGGAACUGGAAUGCGUAAUGUAGCGGUGAAAUGCAUAGAUAUUACGCAGAACACCGAUCGCGAAAGCAGCUUCCUAGGCUAUUACUGACACUGAGGCACGAAAGCGUGGGGAGCGAACAGGAUUAGAUACCCUGGUAGUCCACGCCGUAAACGAUGCUCACUCGCUGUUGGCGAUAUAUUGUCAGCAGUUAAGCUAAAGCAUUAAGUGAGCCACCUGGGAAGUACGUCCGCAAGGAUGAAACUCAAAGGAAUUGACGGGGGCCCGCACAACCGGUGGAACAUGUGGUUCAAUUCGAUGAUACGCGAGGAACCUUACCUGGGCUUAAAUGUAGUUUGACUUCCGCCGAAAGGCGGUUUUCCUUCGGGACAAAUUACAAGGUGCUGCACGGCUGUCGUCAGCUCGUGCCGUGAGGUAUCGGGUUAAGUCCCUUAACGAGCGCAACCCCUAUUGUUAGUUACCAACAGGUUAAGCUGGGGACUCUAGCAAAACUGCCAGCGUAAGCUGGAGGAAGGUGGGGAUGACGUCAAGUCAGCAUGGCCCUUAUGUCCAGGGCUACACACGUGUUACAAUGGCCGAUACAAAGGGCAGCCACCACGCGAGUGGGAGCUAAUCCUUAAAAUCGGUCUCAGUUCGGAUCGAAGUCUGCAAUUCGACUUCGUGAAGGUGGAAUCGGUAGUAAUCGCGCAUCAGCAAUGGCGCGGUGAAUACGUUCCCGGGCCUUGUACACACUGCCCGUCAAGCCAUGGAAAUUGGUGUUGCCUGAAGUCCGUAACCAUCCAGGAGCGGCCUAAGGCAAAACUGUA